rnacentral:rRNA from 1 species
CUAGUAACGGCGAGCGAAGCGGGAAGAGCUCAAAUUUGAAAGCUGGCACCUCCGGUGUCCGCGUUGUAAUCUCGAGACGUGUUUUCCGUGUGGCGCUAUGGACAAGUCCCUUGGAACAGGGCAUCGUAGAGGGUGAAAAUCCCGUACUUGCCAUGGAUGUACCAUGCUUUGUGAUACACGCUCUAAGAGUCGAGUUGUUUGGGAUUGCAGCUCAAAAUGGGUGGUAGACUCCAUCUAAAGCUAAAUAUCGGGGAGAGACCGAUAGCGAACAAGUACCGUGAGGGAAAGAUGAAAAGCACUUUGGAAAGAGAGUUAAAAGUACGUGAAAUUGUCGAAAGGGAAGCGCUUGAAGUCAGCCAUGCUGCUUGAGACUCAGCCUUGCUUUUGCUUGGUGUAUUUCUCGGUAGCAAGCCAGCAUUGGUUUGAGUCGUCGGAGAAGGGUACGAGAAAUGUGGCAUCCUCGGAUGUGUUAUAGGCUUGUACUGGAUACGACGAUUUGGAUCAAGGAACGCAUGUGUGCCUUAUGGCUGGGUCUUUCGGACACCGUUCACACU